CUGAGGCUGGAUUUGAACUCCGGUACUCCUGACUCCAGGACCAGUGCUGUACUCACUGCGCCACCUAACCGCCCUGGCUUCCAACUUUGACACCGCACUGCUCCAGUAUCAAGCUUAAUGAGAAUGGAUGCCUACAGUAUUAAGAAUGGACAUACUGUGGUUACAGUGAUACUCAAGAUGACGGGGGCAUGCUAUAAAAGAUCUUGCAAGUGAACAAGGCUGAAAGUAAACCCAAAGGCACUCAUGGAAGCCACACAACACAUGGAAAACAUUCUGACUCUGAAAUUUGAGGAGCUGCCUUCUGGUAGUCAGUCCUCCCUCCUGGCCUUGUCCUAACCACGUGCCUCUGUACCAAACCCUUUACCUCUGGAGGCUUCUGUUUCCUUCCCCUAUAAAAUGAGGGAGUUGGACAAGAUGGCCUCUGAGGUCCCUGAGAGCUGUCACUUUAUGAUCCUAUGGUAAUUAUAAUGACCAAGCAGCACCAGAAUCUAGAGAAAAAAUACCGAGAAGCAAAAGAACUCAGGAAACAGAAACAGCAACUUUUUGUUAGCAUAUUAUUAAAGGUGAUGCACAGAUUUUUUAAAGCAAACUCCAAAUAACAAACUUAUGGUUUUAUGCGCAAUCAUCCCCUUGCCCCUAUUAUUUGUGUAUGGGGCACUAUAUGACUUAGAGGGGCUGCAGAAUGUAGUGGAGAAUUCACUGCCCUCCCAGUCAAGUCUUACCUCUGACACAUCAUGGCUGUGUGAUGUUAGGCUAAUCACUUAACCUCUUAGGGUUCUAGGCAGAUUUCUAAGACUGUAACUUGUAGAGAAGGUGCCAAUCUGCAUUCAUAAAGGGGAUUUCCUCACUUGGGACUUCCUUAAACCAAUGAAAUGUCAGGUCUAGUCCUUCGCUCCAAUUGCAGUACUUAAAAGUGUGUGCUUAUGGCUGGUAAGUUUAGGACAAGAGUUCUUAACUUCAUCUGUAUCUUGGACCCCU